rnacentral:rRNA from 1 species
AGAAUCAACGCUGGCGGCGUGCCUCAGACAUGCAAGUCGAACGAUUAAAGCUCUCUUCGGAGAGUGUAUAGAGUGGCGCACGGGUGAGUAACACGUAAGUAAUCUACCUUUGAGUGGGGAAUAACGUCCGGAAACGGACGCUAAUACCGCAUAAUGCAGCGGCAUCGCAAGAUGACAGUUGUUAAAGAUCUAUCGCUUGAAGGAGAGUCUGCGACAGUAUUAGCUAGUUAGGUAAGGUAAGUGGUACUUAACCGAAGGACUACGAUUCGUACGUAACCGGUACUAAGGAGGUACCGGUCGGU